AAAAAUAUUAAUUUUAUUAAAUUGGUUUAGAUGUGUUGGUUAAACUUAAAUUGGCAUUGGUUUAGAGAUUUUAGUUGUAUUAAUUCAAUUUUACAAAACUUGAUGGGUUAAUUGGGUAACUCAUUCAAACCAUUAACCAUUACAACCCAAAUCAUUUUACUCAUGAAACCAAUUGACUCGUCAACGCAUUUGACCCAUCAACUCAUUUGAGUCAAAAAUUUCAAUUCAUUAGGGUUCAUGGGUUGAGUUGAGUUGAGUUGACCCAUGAUUUUGACCCAUUUUGACACUCCUACCAAUGACCAAGUUUAUAGAACAAUGACAUUUUUACAAGUUAUACACAUACUA
rnacentral:sRNA from 1 species